CGGAUCGCAGGCUGCAACCCGCCUGCGUGAAGUUGGAAUCGCUAGUAAUCGCGGAUCAGCAUGCCGCGGUGAAUACGUUCCCGGGCCUUGUACACACCGCCCGUCACACCAUGAGAGUCGGGAACACCCGAAGUCCGUAGCCUAACCGCAAGGGGGGGCGCGGCCGAAGGUGGGUUCGAUAAUUGGGGUNAAGUCGUAACAAGGUACC
rnacentral:rRNA from 1 species